rnacentral:lncRNA from 1 species
AAUGCACGUAAAAUCAAGGAGCACUGUUUCUGGCACACUGGGACAGGACUGUUACUAAGCCCAGUUUGAAGAUGAGGAAGCAGGGGCAUACAGAGGGCUCUGGCAGGGUCAUGUAGGAGCUCUGUGUGGCGUCUCACCAACAGGAGACCAAACUGGAGGGUUGUGGAGUGAGAAAAAGUCAAGUUUAUCCUGUCCACAGAGGCUCCCAGCAUGAAGUCAAGACAUGAUUUUGAAGGCAGACAGCCGAGCGAGAACUCCAGCUCCCCAUUGCCUGCUCUGUGACCCCUCAGUGUCCCCAGCUGCAGAUGGCAUAAUAAUAACACUCACCCCAUAGGCCUGCCGUGAGGGAUUAAUGCCUGUGAAGCACUCAGAACAGUGUCUGGUACAGAGUAAGUGCUAUGUGGGUGUUUGUGAAAAAUAAACACGGGGC